UUCACCAACUCGGCUUGCAUUUGCUCAGUGCUGGUAAUGACGUAAUCUUAGUCUCACCCAGAGACUCAUUUGGAAGUUGGAACACAGAACGGGGCGGCUACUGAAGAAAGAAGCGCAGACGCCGUCGUAUUAAUCCCUAAGCGUUGAACAUGGAAGCAACACCAAACACACAACAACAAGACGAUGAUGAUAUCGUUUGCUUAGAUGCGUCCUUCUUCCUCAAUGACAAUUACCAGCUUACGAACUUCACAUUUGGAUCCCAAGACAUUCAGCUCUUCUGUCUUCAAUCCGCUUCAACUGAUUUUGAUUUGACAGGGCAGCUGGUAUGGCCGGGAGCCAUGCUGCUAAAUGAUUAUCUUUCAAAGAAUGUUGAAAUGCUGCGGGGAUGCACUGCCAUCGAAUUGGGUUCUGGUGUUGGUAUUACUGGAAUACUUUGCAGCAGAUUCUGCCAUAAAGUUGUGAUGACGGAUCAUAAUGAAGAAGUGCUAAAGAUUUUAAAUAAAAAUAUAGAGCUUCAUUCAUGUUCCGACAAUACUAGUCCUUCUUCUCGCAGAUUAUUUGCCAAUAAACUGGAAUGGGGGAACUCUGAUCAGAUCAAUGACAUUUUACAAAAUCAUCCAGGAGGUUUUGACCUUGUCCUUGGAGCUGACAUCUAUAUCCUAAUGAAUAUAAUCUUGAAUUUAUCCAUACGUUUCAAUAUUUCCCAUUCUUACUCAUUUCCCAUUUGCUCAUUUUUCUACUUCAGUUCUCAUCUCCUUCCUUGUAGCAUAUGCCUAGAAUGGCAUGGCAGAAAACUAGGGACCACAAUGGCAGUGACGCCGUGGCAUUUCCUGACAGAAAUGGCUGGAUUCUGUGGAAUAUAUUUUGCAUUGGAGGGCUGUUUUUGUCAUUUUAAAAACCAUAAAACUAAUGUUAGGAACACAAAACCUUCUGACUUGAUUUCAGCCUCUUCACCAACCCAAGGAAGCAAGGAAGAGGAAGUUAUAGUGCUACUCCUGCUGCAAAAAGGUUUUGUGUUGGUGAAGAGGCUGAAAUCAGCCAGAGAAGGUUUUGUGUUCCUACAUUAGUUUAGGGUUUUAUAAUGACAAAAACAACCCUCAAAAGCAAAACAAUUCCACAUAACUCCGCCAUUUCUGUCACGGAAUGCCACCGCUCUUUCAGUCCCUGAUUUUCUGCAACACAAUGUACUCCCAGAUGGCAGCAGCCACAAAAUCUGCCAUGUCAUUCUGCCAUGGCACCGCCGUGGCCGAUAUUUUAAAACUACGAAAAAAUAUAAUUCUGGAGACCUUGACAAUGCAUAAGUUUUCAGCAGUCAAGCGUCCCUAUGCUAUUCAAUACUGUUGAACAACUAUUGUGGGCUGGAGAGGGCAGGAGAUGCAAAUUCAUACUAGCCUAUGUAUCACGAACUAAGACCAUGGAUUCAAUGAUUAUUAUGGAAGCCUCUAAGCACCAGAUGCAGAUGAAAGAAGUGCCUGGAACUCGGCGCAUUGUCGGAAAUCUUGAAGGAGUCAUCUACGAAAUUACACUUGGGUCAAAGCAUUAAAUAUAUUUUAGUUGGAGUGACAUGGUGUAUGAUAACCAAAACAGAUUUGAGGGUUUGGGGUUUUGUCCAACAGUUUCUUUCUCGAUCUGUCUAACCAGCAACGCGUUGUUGAGGACACAUGAUUUUCUUCAAAUAGAUACAAGGCAGAUAAAACGGACAUGAUAGGAAGGUUGCUUUUCUUGUUUCAAUUUGAAGGGAUCCAUAAUAACCAUUGGAGAUUUUCAGGACACUAGAUUGGAGUAUAGUCUUUCAUAAAGCUCUAUAUACACAUGCCCAACUAUGUAGCAUGCCCCUAGUCCCUUUACAAUCGAUGAAUCUUUGAAGUUUGAACUAGUUCAUUGACCAGGUUUCAUGUACAAUUUUAUUUUCGCGCAUAGUCAAGAUGGAUAUGUCUUAAAUGAACACAGUUGUAAUCUGAAACUUGUUGGUCUCCUUGAAGAAGUUUUAAGAAUA